rnacentral:rRNA from 1 species
CAGUUGUUCCGCCAGGUGCACUGCUGGGUAUCUGAGUCUGGCCGGGAUAAGCGCUGAAAGCAUCUAAGUGCGAAGCCCUCCGCAAGAUUAGAACUCCAUUGAGGGCCGUCGAAGACGACGACGUUGAUAGGAUGCAGGUGUAAAGACGGUGACGUCAAAGCCGAGCAUUACUAAUUGCCCGAAACUUUUU